GUACACAAUGGUUCAUGCUGAUGGUUCUGUUAUUCAAACUUAUGAGCACUUGAAGCAACAUGGACUGCAAGGUCUCAAAGAGAUCUUUCCUAUACCAUCAUCACCCACUCCAUGGAUAAUCAUUGUGUCUUUCGCUGCCUUUGAAGCUGUCCUUCAGCUUGUGCUACCUGGUAAAAGAUUUGAAGGCCCAAUCUCGCCCGCAGGGAAUAUACCGGUGUAUAAGGCAAAUGGCUUGCAAGCAUACGCAGUAACAUUAAUAACUUACAUCAGCCUUUGGUGGUUUGGAAUAU
rnacentral:misc_RNA from 1 species